rnacentral:rRNA from 1 species
AUUGAACGCUGGCGGCAGGCCUAACACACGCAAGUCGAACGAGUGGCGGACGGGUGAGUAAUGUCUGGGAAACUGCCUGAUGGAGGGGGAUAACUACUGGAAACGGUAGCGAAUACCGCAUACCAUCGGAUGUGCCAAGAUGGGUGUAGAUAGUAGGUGGGGUAACGGCUCACCGAGGCGACGAUCUCUAGUUGGUCUGCGAGGAUGACCAGCCACAGUGGAAAUGAGCCACGGUCCAGACUCCUACUGGAGGCAGCAGUGGGGAAUAUUGCACAAUGGGCGCAAGCCUGAUGCAGCCAUGUCGCGUGUAUGAAGAAGGCCUUCGGGUCGUAAAGUACUUUCAGCGGGGAGGCGUUACCCGCAGAAGAAGCACCGGCUAACUCCGUGCCAGCAGCCGCGGUAAUUC